rnacentral:rRNA from 1 species
CCCUUAGAUGUUCUGGCCGCACGCGUGCUACACUGAGUGGAUCAGCGGGUCAGGUUGCGCGAAAGCGUUUCCUAAUCUUUAAAUCCGCUCGUGAUGGGGAUUGACGGUUGCAAUUUUCUGUCAUGAACGAGGAAUACCUUGUAAGCGCGGGUCAUCAUCCCGCGCUGAAUACGUCCCUGCCCUUUGUACACACCGCCCGUCGCUCCUACCGAUUGAGUGGUCCGGUGAGGCUUUGGGAUCUGAGCGGAAAGAGCGUUUCGCUGUUUCUGCUCGGAAAACUCAGUCGAACCUUAUCAUUUAGAGGAAGGAGAAGUCGUAACA